AUGUUGUGUUUGCCUUUUUUUAAGAUGCCAGGAGAAACUGCCUCUACCUGCAAGAAAGGCGCACGAUGGCAUUUGGGGAUGGGAGUCCUCCUCCGGCACCGGAUCACUGGAGGCAAACAUCGAAUUAAUUGGAUCUCAAUGACUGAGAAUACCAAUAAAAGGGUUAAACAGAUGCCCUCAUAUCUCUACCUUUCUUCUGAGAAGAAUGGCGAUCUACUGGGGCUUUAUGAGCAGCUCCUGAAACACUGCAUUUGGCGUCUCCUUUUGCCACUCUCCCCUAACCGGUGGCUCAGUAUUUCCUAGCCGGCCUUAGAUGCCCUCGAGUGUCCCAGCAGCACCGUCCUACAGCCCUGCAAGUAUUUUGUCAGCGACUGAUGUGACCCGGCCGCUCGCAGAGGUGUCUGGGGCGCUCAUGCCUGAGGAAAUCCAUCCCUAAAUCUGUGCCCUUAGCUUAGGAGCCGGGGAAGCUGCGCCAGCACCAGGUCCUGCAGAGGUGGGCCCUUUUCUCUAUUCCUGUGUUUCUGGAGCCCUGGGAAAACCAAGCCGUGGGGCCUGAAGGGCGGUCGCAGGGAGCACGGGGCCGGGGGGGAAAGAGGAGGGNNNNNNNNNNNNNNNNNNNNNNNNNNNNNNNNNNNNNNNNNNNNNNNNNNNAGAACCAAAAAGAAAAAUGGAGGGGGGGGGUGUGGGGGGAGGGGAAGGGCAGUGGGGGUUGGGAUGGAGAGAUAGGAGAAGUUAGUGGCUGUCUGGAGUGUAAACACGAGUCCAUCAUCUCCUCGGGAGAAAGGGAGGCUGCGUUUGUCAAACGGGCUAGAGCCCAGAGGAGGGGCACAGGCGCGACCGGACCGCUCCGAAAUGCCGCCGGGAAAUCUGCAUCCAAGACGACUCGGAGGACAGUCCUUUACAAUCAGUCCCAAAAUCUCCCAGGCAGAUGUCCGAGGUUCAGCCAGGCUCUCUGAUAACUGCCGAACAAUCGUAGGCAACUAGACCUGCUCCGGAGUAGGGGAUGGGAUGGGGGCCGGGGGGGGCGAAGUGACAUAGAAAAACCCCACUAAUAUUGCAAACAAUAUUGAAUCUCUCGGGUAACUUCGUGCAGAUCUCAGGCUUCUUCCUCGAGGUCGGCGAGGAAGGCUGUUGUGGCCGAGCCUGUAACUUCUUGCAUUGUUUCUGACCGUGCACUGUAUUGCCGUUAUGCCAAUAAACGCUUUAAAUGCGGCUUAUUAGCGGGCA
rnacentral:lncRNA from 1 species